rnacentral:lncRNA from 1 species
AAGGAGGGAGUAGUACAGUAGUAUUUUGCAUCUGUACCUUUCCAUUCUUUUCUCUUGACGUGAACCCAUUUCCCAUUCUAGUUCGUUUUUCUCUUUUUCUUCCCUGAUCUAGGGAUUCAUCCACGGGUCGUUGGAUCCAGUAAGUGAGAAGGACGUGGUGAGCAGGAUUUGCGGCAGAGUGUCGUCGUUGCAGGCUCUCGGCGGCGGCCGGUCCUCCAGCUCGACUACACGUGCCUGCUGCUCGCUCGCCGCCGUCGAUUGGAUGGCCGUGGAGUUCGCCCCCUUUGAACCUAAGCGGCAACACUCCUCCAGGUAAUCUCUCCUCUUCCCCUCCUUCCCCUUCCUUCCCAGAUGCUUAGUCUGCUAGGAUCCAGCAAUUGUGUGGAUUUUGGAUUCUUCAUGAGAAAUCGGCUUGUGGUCUCCUGUUAUGCCCUACCUGCAGCUCGUGGAGAUUUUUUCUGGUGGAGAUAAGGAGAUGCUUAUGGUCUACUGACCUUUCUCUAUUUUUUUUAUCUUCGCAUGGUUUCUUCUUACUCAUAAUUUUCAUGCUCGCAAGACGGAGAGAGUGUUCUCCGGUGAGGUACUACUCAGAAGCCGGGAAGGGCAAAUGCAGAGAGGUGACCAAUAUGCGCAUGUAGUUUUUUUAGGAUCAAGCGAGCGAAGGUUUGCCUCAAUUUAUGUCAGAGUUGUUCAUAUCCCCCCGCCCUUUUGCUUACCUUGCGUUAUUUUGGGGAAUUAACUUUUUUUCAGUUGACAUUCUGCCCAACUUAGAUCGUCUCUUCAAUUUAGCUUGUCUCUUCAACACAUCCGUAUUAAUUAUGUGAAGUUCCGUAUAGCAAAAGGUGUUCAAUACUUCAUUGUUUCGUCUACUACCUAUAACACAUGUAAUCUUUCAAUAAUUCAUUGUCUUGUCUGUAUUCGUUAACAUUUAUAUACGUGAAUACACAUACAUUUAUUUGGUUGAGGAGGCUAUGUUGAUGUCUAUUUUUAUUGAGAGACUAUUCGUGAGAGUGAUGAGAGUGUUAGUGCAGAGAUAUCAGUAAUCGCUAUUUAGGUGGAAUUUAUUUGUGAACUUUCUCUAGAACGAUCAAAUAUAGUACUCCCUCUGUUCCUAAAUAUAAGUUUUUUUAAGAGAUUCCAAUAAGGACUACAUAUUGCUUAGAAGAUGGUGACCACGCCGGAGGACCGCGGCGGGCUGGGCAUCCACGACCUCUCAACGUUUGCCCGUGCCCUUCGCCUCCGGUGGCUUUGGCUCAACUGGACAGACCCCAACAGGCCAUGGGCUGGCACGGGCACCCCCUGCGACGACAAGGACAGAUGCCUCUUCACAGCAGCCACGGUGGUGACCAUCGGGGACGGGGCCACAGCCUUCUUCUGGGCUUGCUCAUGGCUGAGUGGACGGCCACUCAAGCAAGCUUUCCCGGCGAUCUUCGCACAUUCGAGGAGAAAGAACAGAUGUGUUCGAGACGCCCUGGAAGAUGGCAGAUGGAUCCAAGACCUAAACCACGGCGACUUCAACAGCAUCCUGCCGCAGAUUGUGCAGCUAGCCAGAGAGAUCAGAAGAGCUGGAAUCACCACGCUUGAGGGGAGGCCGGACACCAUCCGCUGGACCCUGAGCAACUCCGGGCAGUACACAACGAAGACGACAUACAAUGCUCAGUUCGACAACGGAAGUACGUGCCCGUUCCGCGCACUGAUCUGGAAGAUUUGGGCCCCGGGAAAGAUCAAAAUGUUCCUCUGGCUAUUGCACCACGAUCGCCUCUGGUGCAACGAUCGACUCCAAAAGGAGAGGGUGGGAGAACUGCUAUUUCUGUCCGCUCUGCCAAAGAAGCUUGGAAUCGUCAGUCCACCUCUUCUGGGAGUGCCCGACCUCGUUGCAGGUCUGGCGCACGGCCGCGGGCUGGCAUGGAUGCGGCACCCUGGAUCACAGCACCUGGCCGGCAUUAUCAAGCACAACAGAGCACGUUCAGUCCAUCAUCGACCAUGCGGCCUAGGGGGAUAAGAGGGGCACCAAGACGAUGAUCGCCAUGCUCACUUGGCACAUCUGGUUGGAACGAAACGAGGCCAUCUUCAGGGGCAAGAACCCUAGCGCAAGGAACAUUGUCGACGCUUGUCGACGCGACCUAGAGCUGUGGAGAUUAGCUGGAGCAAAAUGCAUAGAGCACCCAUUCGGGGAACUAACGUGAGAUUAAAACCUAAACGCUUUAGGGUGCCUCAGCCAGACCCUAACGUGGCUGCAUGUAUUCUUAGCUGCCUCCUGAUCACUUGAUCAAACCUUGUAAACAUCUCUCCCUGCUAAAUCAAUGAAAACCAGCAAGUGCUGGAUAUUUCAAAAAAAAGCAAAAUGAGUGAAUCUACACUCUAAAACUCCCUCCGUUCCUAAAUAUAAUUUUUUUAGAGAUUCCAGUACAGAAUACAUAAGGAGCAAAAUGAGUGAAUCUACACUCUAAAAUACAUCUAUAUACAUCCGUAUGUAGUCUGUAUUGAAAUAUCUAAAAAGGCUUAUAUUUUGAAACGAAGGUACGUAGCUAUGUAAAAAUAUCCAUGCUUCAACUUUUUAAAAUGAUGUUAGAAGAGAGAUAAAAAUAUUCAGGGGUGAUAAAUAACUAAUUAACAAAAAAGUAAUAUUUUUUGGAAAUAUCAGACAUAUUUAUAUAUAUGGUUAGGUUGUCUUCGACUCUAUGUUUUUUUAAGAAAUGGAAGAGGACCCCCGGCCUCUGCAUCUGGACGAUGCAUGCAACCACUUUAUUAAUUAUUCACACAAGACCAUACAAAGUCAUACAACAGUAAGACUGAAGCCACCGUCUAGACAACAAAAGUGUCGCUACUCUAUCCAAGUGAUGAAGGGAUGCUGAUAGUCUAGGCCUAGUACCAAACACACCUCGCAGCCAAACCUAACAUCUAAGACCUGAGGUCCCAACCAGGACGCCUGUCGCAUAUGGGUCACCUACCAGUCCGGCGCACUUCUCAACCAGGACGCCUGCCGAGUCUGAGGCCUCCGCAGCCACCUGCCACCAAUCCAUCUACCUUGCCUGGUCUAGCUGCCGUCGACGCCACCAUGACGCCAGACCGCGUCACCCUCCUGCGCGAGUCCAUCUCCACGCAUCGGACGCAGAGUCACCACAGCGCCAUGCCGCCGAGACCCGCUGCCAUCAAUGAGUGAGAUGCCGCACCGCUCCACCAAAGAAUCCGUCCUCUGGUCCUGCAUCCAGCCGUUGCUCAGAAAACGAUGCCCCCAUGAGGGAAAACGAGGCCAAUAGCACCGCCAUCGUCCGAUCCGAAAACUCCGGAUCUAGGUUUUCACCUAGAGCAGCGCAAGCAAGUUGCCAGAAGCUGCAGAGGCAAUGUCUUCAACAAGAUAACGAUGCGAAAACGCCGCCAUCGCCCGCCAUGACUCGAGCCAUAGCACGGUUUUCACCGGCAGCCUCGUCUCCCCACUCUACGCCGGGACUGGAUGCGAGAAUCCACAACCAUCUAGCCGACCACCUCCGGUGAAGAAGAUGGCCACCACCUCCACGCCCAGGGCCGGAGCCCCCGACAUCCUCGUGUCGCGUGCCUAGUCCAGAGGUCGCUUGCCGCGCCAGAACAAAGGAUGCGCACGACGGCUCGAGGAACCACCAUCCAGAUCCAAAAGGGAUCCAGAUUGGACACCAUAGCCGCCGACGUGAUCUCUUCGUCGCUGCCGCCAACACGACAACCCUGAUCGCCACCGGCCUGCGCCACCGCCCUUGAAUCGGCCGGAGUAGGUCGCCGCCACCCAGAUUCGAUCAUCGGCCAAGGAAGAUUGCCGCCGCCGCCGCUGCGGCCCGCAGGCUUAGCCUGCGAUGCUCUCAGUGGCGGCAGNNNNNNNNNNNNNNNNNNNNNNNNNNNNNNNNNNNNNNNNNNNNNNNNNNNNNNNNNNNNNNNNNNNNNNNNNNNNNNNNNNNNNNNNNNNNNNNNNNNNNNNNNNNNNNNNNNNNNNNNNNNNNNNNNNNNNNNNNNNNNNNNNNNNNNNNNNNNNNNNNNNNNNCGGCACGGCACCGCCGCACAGGGGGGAGGAGGUCACGGGGGGGAGGGGGGAGGGGGUCACGGGGGGAGGAGGCACGUCAACUCUCUUCGACUCUAUGUAAUUGCACAUGCAUUGCCUAUGCAAAAUUCUAGUUUUGUUGACUUGAUGAACUAUAUUGUAAAUUAGAAUAUCUCUUUAUAAACAAUAUUCUUUGUGGCAUCUUCAGUUGGACACUCUUUAUUAUUGAUCAACACAUUCAAUCCUUCCUUGUUUGUCACUCUCGAUAAUGCCACAUAGAGUUGUCGAUGGCAGAAUGCUUGCUUAGGAAAAUAUAUUCCUACUUUGUUUUUGCAAGGAUGUUAUUGUCGUCGAGCAUUAUUUGCAGUUCUUUGACGUUGUUGGGGUCCACUGUUGAUUUAUUAUCGUUGCAUCUUGACGCACUUAUCCUGUUUGCCACCUUAUUUACAUUAUUAUAGAUGUACAGCUGUGUGAACCAAGGUUUAUCUGUACCUUUAGGUAAAAGAUUUCCGAUGUGGUGGUAGUUCUGUCCACGCAAACGAAAAGCAGAAAGUUCUUUGCGAGUGUUUAUUUCCUUGUCCACAACUCCUCCCAUCGAUGUGAAUGGAAACAUUGAGUUGUAUGACCUUAUAAUCGAGCCCUUCACUUCUUAAGAGGUUUCUGAGGUAUGGUGGAGGGUCUCUUAGUGGUGGCAGAUUGAUUUUUCCCUGUUUGCAGCAUAUUCCAAAAGAGGGUGUCUUAGUUCCUUUGUUGAAUUUAAUCAUUCUUCACACCAUAGCAAUGAUUUGCAAUAUUAGCAUUUGUAUGUUGGCCUUCCGAAUUUCCAUGUCUUUCUAUUAGCACUUGUUGAGGUUGUGGUUCUGUUGUUGUCUCCAACAUUGAUUCUAAUGUUAAUUUUGCUGCUUUCGCUUCUUGUACGCUUCAACUUCUUACUUCUUUAGCAUUAUCCUUUCUCAAUUGUUUAGGAACCUCUGUGUUUGUAUUUCUUCUUCCCUCUACAGUCCUUGUCCUCUUUGUGCUCCUUAAGUUUAGAGCUUGAUCUUUCUUUCUUUUUGUGUGGUGAGCUGCUAGCGCUGACGUAUGUUGGACUGUCAUCUCUACAAAAUUAGUUUUGUUAGUGACAUACAGAGUUUUCUUAAUAAUGUUUUGCCACUGCAGACAUGUAAGUGCAUUUGGAGAUAUAGAGACUAUAAUGGGGGUGUCACAUACAGAACAUCUGGAGAUCAAUAUUGUUUAUCUGGUAUGGCACUAUAAAUUAAUAUGUGUUCAAUAGUGUUGCCCUUCUUGUAGCUUUCGCACUACUGUCAUGGCAGUGUGUGUAUGCAUGGAAAAACAUGGUUAGAAGAGUUUUGACAUAGAAGAUUAGAAGCAAGGUUGAGCUGAGAUCAAAUGCUGACACACGUGAAGCAUUGCAUGUGGAUAUUACCUGAGGUUGAUGGUGUUGAUGUCGUGUCUUCAGUUUGUAGGGCGUUUCUUUGUGGUGUUUGGGCGUCGCGGGCGUAUAUUGGAUGCAAUUUGGUAGAGUUGCUUCCAUGCCUUGCAUUUUUCGGUCGUCUUGUGUGUUCGAUCAUCCUAACAUCUUGAUAAAAGAGCUAUUGAGAAAGUACAUCAUGGGUGAGACCCAAGAGUUGAAUGUCGUCUUGUAAAAAUUAUUGUUGAAUGAUGACUAUGUGAUAUAAGCAGAAGGGAUGAGCGUGUGACCAUACCUCUUUUUGUUUUCUGAGACUAUGAUCUAACAAUUUUACUAAUGUAUCUUGAAGAAUGGACUGUAUUGUGUAGAUUAUCUGAGGCAAAAAAUUCUAG